rnacentral:rRNA from 1 species
UAUUUUCUGGGGAUUAUAUUUAGUAUUGGAAAUUCAAUGGAUCUGGCGGUUUUUAAAUCUUUUUAGAGGAAUCUGUAAUUUAAAUGAUAGUCCACGAUUUAUUUUACCUUUUUUUUCUUGUAUAUCUCUGUCGUUGAAUGUUGUGAAAAUUAAUUUUCUUUUAUAUUUAUUUAUUUUAUGUUAGGUCAAGGUGCAGUUAUAGGGGGGUUAUUAUGGAUUACUUUAAUUUUUGUUUGUUGAUUUUAUUCUUGUAAAUUUUUUGAAUAUGGAUUUAAAAGUAAAAUU